UUUUGUUCUGGUGAGUGUACGGGCAGCAGCGUUCUGUAUAAGUUGGAGGCUCUUUAUUGAGUUGAUGCUGCAUCCGGACAGGAGAGCAUUGCAGUAAUCUAGUCGGGAAGUAAUAAAUGCGUGGAUAAGUUUUUCUGCAUCUUGGAGGGAUAGGACUUUUCUAAUUUUGGCAAUAUUGCGUAAAUGGAAAAAUGAUGUCUAAGAUCUGUUUUAUGUGUGAGUCAAGUAGGAGGUCUUGGUUGAUAGUUACACCAAGGUUUUUGAUGCUAGUAUUGGGUGUUGGGAUGCCAUCGAGUGUGGAUAGAUGGCUAGAUAGUGUCAUUCUCAAUUGAUCGGGGCCUACAAGCAUAACCUCCGUUUUAUCAGAGUUGAGGAGCAGGAAGUUGUUAGCCAUCCAAGAUUUUACAUCUUGCAGGCAAGUUUCUAUCUUGGGUAAAUUUACAAUUUCAUCAGGUUUCAUGGAUAGGUAGAGUUGGGUGUCAUCAGCAUAUCAGUGGAAGUUAAUGCCAUGGUUCCUUGUGACAGCACCUAAGGGUAGCAUGUAAAGGGAAAAGAGCAGUGGUCCGAGAACAGAGCCUUGGGAAACACCGUAGCUUACUCUAGUGUGAUUGGAUGACUUCUCAUGGACAUGAACGAAUUGAUGGCGAUCACAGAGGUAAGAUCUAAACCAGGAUAAGGCACAGCCUUUGAUGCCAACGUGAUGUUCAAGUCUCUGUAAUAGGAUAUGGUGAUCUAUAGUGUCGAAGGCGGCACUAAGGUCUAGGAGAACUAGUAUUGAGGUGCACCCAUGAUCGGAUGCGAUUAGUAGGUCAUUCAGGACUUUGACUAAGGCCGUUUCAGUGCUGUGGUGGGCUCUAAAGCCAGAUUGGAGGAUUUCUUCGAUUUUGUUUUGGUGUAGAAAGGAAGUAACUAGUAUUUUUGACAAGAAGGGGAGGUUAGAUAUGGGUCUAUAGUUAGCUAGAUUAUCAGGAUCAAGGUUAGGUUUUUUGAGAGAUGGUUUGAUCACUGCUAUUUUGAAUGAUUUGGGGACGUAUCCUGAAAUUAGUGAAUUAUUCAUUACAUUAAGUAAUGUCUCACUUAAUAAGGGUAGUGCAUGUUUAAGAAGUUUUGUGGGGAUAGGAUCUAGUAGGCACGUCGAUGAUUUAGAUGAGAGGAUCAGGGAGUUUAGUUCAGGGAGGUCAAUGGGUGCAAAGGAUUCAAGGAGAGCACCAGGUUGAGGGGGUGUUGCCAUAGCCAUAGGGCAUUUUGGAAGAGGUGUAAGGUCAAAGAGGGGGAGG
ensembl:lncRNA